rnacentral:rRNA from 1 species
CCUACGGGGGGCAGCAGUGGGGAAUUUUGGACAAUGGGCGCAAGCCUGAUCCAGCUAUUCCGCGUGUGGGAUGGAGGCCCUCGGGUUGUAAACCACUUUUGUAGAGAACGAAAAGACACCUUUUAAUAAAGGGAGUUGCUGACGGUACUCUAAGAAUAAGCACCGGCUAACUACGUGCCAGCAGCCGCGGUAAUACGUAGGGUGCGAGCGUUAAUCGGAAUUACUGGGCGUAAAGGGUGCGUAGGCGGGACGGUAAGUCAGCGGUAAAAAUGCGGAGCUCAACUCCGUCGAGCCGUUGAAACUGG